rnacentral:rRNA from 1 species
AGACCCGAAACCCGGUGAUCUAGCCAUGGGCAGGUUGAAGGUUGGGUAACACUAACUGGAGGACCGAACCGACUAAUGUUGAAAAAUUAGCGGAUGACCUGUGGCUGGGGGUGAAAGGCCAAUCAAACCGGGAGAUAGCUGGUUCUCCCCGAAAGCUAUUUAGGUAGCGCCUCGUGAAUUCAUCUCCGGGGGUAGAGCACUGUUUCGGCUAGGGGGCCAUCCCGGCUUACCAACCCGAUGCAAACUGCGAAUACCGGAGAAUGUUAUCACGGGAGACACACGGCGGGUGCUAACGUCCGUCGUGAAGAGGGAAACAACCCAGACCGCCAGCUAAGGUCCCAAAGUCAUGGUUAAGUGGGAAACGAUGUGGGAAGGCCCAGACAGCCAGGAUGUUGGCUUAGAAGCAGCCAUCAUUUAAAGAAAGCGUAAUAGCUCACUGGUCGAGUCGGCCUGCGCGGAAGAUGUAACGGGGCUAAACCAUGCACCGAAGCUGCGGCAGCGAACGUAUCACCCAAGACAACUUUACGGAGUUGACGAUUGACGGAGCGAAGCGACGUCAAAGCGUUCAUUAAAGUCGAGUUGGCUUAGGGAUACGUUCGUUGGGUAGGGGAGCGUUCUGUAAGCCUGUGAAGGUGUGUCGUGAGGCAUGCUGGAGGUAUCAGAAGUGCGAAUGCUGACAUAAGUAACGAUAAAGCGGGUGAAAAGCCCGCUCGCCGGAAGACCAAGGGUUCCUGUCCAACGUUAAUCGGGGCAGGGUGAGUCGACCCCUAAGGCGAGGCCGAAAGGCGUAGUCGAUGGGAAACGGGUUAAUAUUCCCGUACUUGGUGUUACUGCGAAGGGGGGACGGAGAAGGCUAUGUUGGCCGGGCGACGGUUGUCCCGGUUUAAGCGUGUAGGUGUGUGUUCCAGGUAAAUCCGGUUCACUUUAACACUGAGGCGUGACGACGAGGCACUACGGUGCUGAAGCAACAAAUGCCCUGCUUCCAGGAAAAGCCUCUAAGCAUCAGGUAACAUCAAAUCGUACCCCA